AUAUUUAAAGUCGGAUAUUACAACAAUAAUGCAUAUAACGUCUGCAUUUGUUUUAUUUUCAUGUGAAAGGAAGCAAACUCUAGGAUGAUGUUUUGGCUCGGGCCUCUGUCAAAUAACAAGAUAAGGUGUGAACUUCUAAAGUAUUAGGACAGAUCUUACUUAUCUUUUAAAAAAAAGUAUACGUCGAGUUGAUGAAUACAUUUUGUUACUUAUGACUAUUUGAUAAACCGACAAAAAUGGAAAGGUUAAAAUUUCACACUGUAGAUUAUGUGGUAAUGGUGAUAUUUCUUGCUAUAUCCUCUGCGAUUGGAAUUUACUAUGGUUUUUACAAGAAACAGAGGACAACAGAGGAAUAUAUUCUUGGUAAUCGGCAGAGUCAUCUUGUUCCAGUUGCUCUGUCGUUAGCAGUCACUUUUCAAUCAGCAACAUCAAUUAUAGGAUUACCAAGUGAAAUCUAUCUGUAUAACAUUAUGGUGUUUUAUAUAACAUUUGGAAUUUCUAUUGCAAACCUUAUACAGGCCCUUGUCAUCGUGCCUUUGGUACAUCCACUAAGAUUGACGAGUGCAUAUGAGUAUCUUCAGCGUCGUUUCCAGUCUAGAGCCGUGCAGCUUCUUGGAAUGUCUAUGGCAUGUUGCAGACGCUACUAUAUGUCAGCAUUGCCUUGUAUUCUCCAGCUCUGGCACUUGAAGCAGGGAGGAAUGAGAACAGUGAUAUGGACAGAUAUAUUCCAGUUUGUUAUGCUUUAUGGUGGACCUGCUGUGAUCCUUAUACUGGGUGUAAAAGAAAUAGGAAGUUUGCGAACAGUUUUUGCUUUGUCAUUGGAAGGUGAUCGGAUGAAAUUUGAUGAGAAAACAUAUUGAUAUAUAACCUAUGGAAGUAAAUGUGAUAGUUUGUUAGAAUAAACCCAGAUCCUCGUGUACGUCACACAGUGUGGGGGUGUGUAAUUGGUGGGGUCUUUAAUUGGCUUCCAAACUGUUGCAACCAGUCAGCCAUACAGAGGAUAUCUUCCAUAGAAAAAGCUAAAGAUUGCUAAAAUUGCUACUCUUCUGAAUAUACCACUGGGGAUAAUCUUCGAUUUGAUUCUUAUUCUGACUGGUCUGGCCGCAUACAUCGUUAUAAAAGCUUGUGAAUCCGCUGGGUAACAAUCAGUUGUCAAAUCCGAACCAGUUGAAGAUAUACUUUGUCAUGAAAGUGUUAAACAGUGUACCAGGACUGGCUGGAAUAUUUCUUGCAGCAGUUUUCAGUGGAGCAUUAAGUUCAUUGUCUUCGGGAAUAAACUCGAUUGGCUGCAAACACUCUUCAGGAUAUCCUGGCUAAUCCAUUGAAGGAAGCGUUACAGAUCAAGAAAACAUUAAUUGCAAAACUAUUAGGGAGCUCUUACUGGUGGAAUCUGUGGUGUUGUAAUAAAUAUGUGGAUUGCACUUGGAUCCUUCCUCUAUGGAAAUAAAGCUCCACUGUCAAAGCCAGUCACUAUAUCCGGAUGCACCAAUAAUAAAACAGCAUUUUCUGAGCCGAAUGUAACUCUGCCGACCAGCAGCUAUUACAGUUCAACAUCUGAUUUCUCUCUCAGUCCCCACUGGAAUGGAUCUAUAACCGAUGAUAUAGACAAGCAAGUAUUAUUCUCCAGUUACCGGUUAAGUAAUCAUUGUUAUAAAUUUGUUGCUAUGGAUGACUGCCACAGAAAUCGUAGAAAGAUUUUACUACAAGGAAUAACUGUUUUAUUGAUAUGUCAUUGCAAUAAUAUUACAUACGUGUAUGUUUUGUCUUUUUCAAUACACUGAAUCAUUUUUAUCAAAACAUAACUUCACAAAAGAUAUUUUGAGUGCAUGUACUUAGGUCCGAAACAUACUGAGUGGAGCAACCCAUACCGAUCACCGAUAUAGAACUUACGAUAUGUUUAAUAAUUACUCAUAUCGGCAACAUUUCUGCAAAACCAUUAAAAUUACGUCAACGUAAACUAGUUUGACGUCACACUUGCAACAUUCAAUUGAAUGACAUUAAACCUUAUUGAGUAGCGCUUGUUUCAUACUUACAGUUAAUAAAAUGCUUCUUGUAAAAUUGGCGAUUUCACAAGGUGCCUCGGCACACCCAAUAGAUUUUGUGCAGAAUACCAAAUAACUUCUUCAUAAAUUAUAUUCUGGAGAUGUUUUUGUUUCUUUAUCUUGUUGGGUUUAUCGACGCACCGAUACAACUAUGCCAUGUGGCAAGUUUUUUUAGCUUUUUAUUGAGAAAAUUAUUCUAGGCAGGAGUAAGUACCUGGUAAUAACCAAAGACCUUCCAAAAACAAGAGGACCAUGAUGGUCCUGAAUCGCUCACCUCUUCCCACAUG
rnacentral:misc_RNA from 1 species